rnacentral:rRNA from 1 species
UACAGAGGGGGCAAGCGUUGUUCGGAAUUACUGGGCGUAAAGGGCGCGUAGGCGGCCUUCUAAGUCGAACGUGAAAUCCCCGGGCUCAACCCGGGAACUGCGUCCGAUACUGGAAGGCUUGAAUCCGGGAGAGGGAUGUGGAAUUCCAGGUGUAGCGGUGAAAUGCGUAGAUAUCUGGAGGAACACCGGUGGCGAAGGCGGCUUUCUGGACGAUAACUGACGCUGAGACGCGAAAGCGUGGGGAGCAAACAGG